rnacentral:rRNA from 1 species
AUUGAACGCUGGCGGCAGGCCUAACACAUGCCAGUCGAGCGAGCGGCGGACGGGUGAGUAAUGUCUGGGAAACUGCCUGAUGGAGGGGGAUAACUACUGGAAACGGUAGCUAAUACCGCAUACCAUCAGAUGUGCCCAGAUGGGAUUAGCGAGUGGGUGGGGUAACGGCUCACAUAGGCGCCGAGCCCUAGCUGGUCUGAGAGGACGACCAGCCACGCUGGAACUGAUACACGGGCCAGACUCCUACGGGAGGCAGCAUUGGUGAAGAGUGCACGAUGGGCGCAGGCCGGAUGCAGCCAUGCCGCGUGUGUGAAGAAGGCCUUCGGGUUGUAAAGCACUUUCAGCGGGGAGGCGUUACCCGCAGAAGAAGCACCAGCUAACUCCGUGCCAGCAGCCGCGGUAAUUC